rnacentral:lncRNA from 1 species
CGCCUGGGCAGAUCUUCUCGACGGCCACCUUGAUGGCGUCGAUGACCUCGAACCCACGCACCGACCCGUUGUUGGGCGUCGCCAUCUUCUCUCCCUGAAAGCUCGCAGUGUCGUCCAGGAGCAGCGACCCGUCGCAGCCCUGGACGAAGCAGUCGUGGAAGAAGAGGCGGAGGAUGGAUGCGCCCAUGCGCGGCUCGUUCGCCACGGCCGACUGCACCACCGACGCGACUGCGCCCAGCGCGCCCGGGCACGAGCUCGAGUAGAAC